AAAACACAAAGACAUCCGUAUAAUCUGAAAAUAACGCAGAGUGAUUUUCUGGUUAUUGCUUAUUUUAGGAUUAAGCUCAAUAUAAAAUUGUGGGGAUAAAGACGGACAAGCGGAAUUAUCUUAUAAAAAAAAGCCGAUGUGAAUAUCGGCCUUUUUAUUAUCU
rnacentral:sRNA from 1 species